CAGCAGCCGCGGGAAUACAGAGGGUGCGAGCGUUAAUCGGAUUUACUGGGCGUAAAGCGUGCGUAGGCGGCUUCUUAAGUCGGAUGUGAAAUCCCUGAGCUUAACUUAGGAAUUGCAUUCGAUACUGGGAAGCUAGAGUAUGGGAGAGGAUGGUAGAAUUCCAGGUGUAGCGGUGAAAUGCGUAGAGAUCUGGAGGAAUACCGAUGGCGAAGGCAGCCAUCUGGCCUAAUACUGACGCUGAGGUACGAAAGCAUGGGGAGCAAACAGGAUUAGAUACCCGCGUAGUCCCUGUCUCUUAUCC
rnacentral:rRNA from 1 species